rnacentral:rRNA from 1 species
GACGAACGCUGGCGGCGUGCUUAACACAUGCAAGUCGAACGGAAAGGCUCCAGCUUGCUGGAGUACUCGAGUGGCGAACGGGUGAGUAACACGUGGGUAAUCUGCCCUGCACUCUGGGAUAAGCCUGGGAAACUGGGUCUAAUACUGGAUAUGACCUUUCUCCUUAUGGGGUUUGGUGGAAAGUUUUUCGGUGUAGGAUGAGCCCGCGGCCUAUCAGCUUGUUGGUGGGGUGAUGGCCUACCAAGGCGACGCCGGGUAGCCGGCCUGAGAGGGUGAGCGGCCACAGUGGGACUGAGAUACGGCCCAGACUCCUACGGGAGGCAGCAGUGGGGAAUAUUGCACAAUGGGCGGAAGCCUGAUGCAGCGACGCCGCGUGAGGGAUGACGGCCUUCGGGUUGUAAACCUCUUUCAGCAGGGACGAAGCGUAAGUGACGGUACCUGCAGAAGAAGCACCGGCUAACUAUGUG